GAUGAACGCUGGCGGCGUGCCUAAUACAUGCCAGUCGAGCGAACAGAUGAGGAGCUUGCUCCUCUGACGUUAGCGGCGGACGGGUGAGUAACACGUGGAUAACCUACCUAUAAGACUGGGAUAACUUCGGGAAACCGGAGCUAAUACCGGAUAAUAUAUUGAACCGCAUGGUUCAAUAGUGAAAGACGGUUUUGCUGUCACUUAUCGAUGGAUCCGCGCCGCAUUAGCUAGUUGGUAAGGUAACGGCUUACCAAGGCAACGAUGCGUAGCCGACCUGAGAGGGUGAUCGGCCACACUGGAACUGAGACACGGUCCAGACUCCUACGGGAGGCAGCAGUAGGGAAUCUUCCGCAAUGGGCGAAAGCCUGACGGAGCAACGCCGCGUGAGUGAUGAAGGGCUUCGGAUCGUAAAACUCUGUUAUUAGGGAAGAACAAAUGUGUAAGUAACUAUGCACGUCUUGACGGUACCUAAUCAGAAAGCCACGGCUAACUACGU
rnacentral:rRNA from 1 species